rnacentral:lncRNA from 1 species
GAGGUGGGCAAGUUAGUUGCUCCAAAAACAAGAUAAAAUGAUUGAGUUCUUUUCUCAAGCGGGAGUCGGAGUUUAUCUGCUCUGAGAGCCCCAGCAGCUACUAUUAAUGAGUGUCUGGAAUAUGUUCCUGGCAUUUCACCUACCCUCUCUCCAAUCCUUCCAAGAAACUCACAAAGCAGGGCUUUUUCUUGAACUUCUCUUCCUCACAACAGUUAAAUCAUCCAUUUAAAGAUGUCAAACAACCUCCGUGUUCUAAGAUGCUGGACCCCUGAAUAUGGAGGGCCAACUACACUAGAAACACACACGCUAGCUGAGAAAGAUGGUGGCUUAAGGCCAAGGGCCUCUGCUAGCACCCAUGAGAACUUUGUGUUCUUGAGAAUAAGACACCUUUGCUCCAGGGCUUAGUGAGCAGGGCCUGAACUGGAGUUCCCUCCCACCACCUUAACUGAACUCUUCAUGCAGGACACAGCAUGUACAACCUCACAUAGAGUUCCUGACCAGACAAGACUUGCUGGAAAUUUCCCAGGAUCUUCCUUCCUUAAGCAUCCAUCAUGGGAAGCCACCUUGCCCUAGGGAGAGCUCCUGACCUAGGGUCAGGAAUAUAUUAAGGAAGACAGCAAUUAAUACAUUCAAAAAUAAUAAUAAUUACAAAUUAUGUCUCUGUGUUAGGAAAACUUGGAUAAGCAGGUCCAUAGAAAUUCCUCUGCUAGCCCUGUCUCCUGGAAUUUCUACAUAAUGGCAUAUCCUCAG